AGGAGAAUGAGGCAAGCCAAGCUGUGAGGAGUCUGUGGGUCAUGGCUUUGGCAGCGUGGAACCUGGGACAUAGAGUCCCCCUUGAUACGGCUGUUCAGCAGACCAACUUUGUUGUAAAUAUUUAGAUAAAAAUGGGCUUUAGAGCAGCCACAUCUGAAGACCCACAAGGCUGAAUGUUACACAGGGGGAGCACCAUUAUUUAAUCUGAACAUCUGGAAUCCAUCAUGUGUAGUGAAGGACAAGAUGUAUCCUCAUUUUUAAGCCAACUCCAUGAUAAAAUUGAUGGAUGGGACCAAUGUGUACAGGUGAAGAAGAUUGAUACUUAAGAUCUCAAUCAGAAUCUGAUUGAAGAUAAACUCAUCCUAUUUGGAUCAGAGCAUUAGAAGAAAGAAAGAACUGACACUUCUCAACCUUCUCUAGUUGAAGACUUCUCUUUGCUAUAACUACUUGAAGAGUUCAGCAGAAAAAUUUUACUGAAGAAUCCCUGAUCCUCCUUUAAGUAGCUGUAGAGAAUAUUCACUAAGUGUAAUGGGACACGUCUCUCUCAUGCCCACUUCUUUUCUCUUAUCCCUGCAAGAAAAUGAAGUUUUGUUGGAGUCAGAGGUUUAUUUUAGUUUAUUUUAAUCAGAAACGUGUAUGAAAUCCAAAGCACAUGAUCUUCAUUUUUAAUAACGUAAACCAUCCCCAUGUUUAUGUGCUUUCUCUGGUCCUCAACCUUUUUUUUUCUUUUUAAUUUUAAGAACAUCUGUCCCCACUGCAACUUCACUUUCAUCAGGAAAUCUAAUUACAGAGAUAGAAAAGAGUAUAGUAGGUGAAGCAAAAGACAGCAGCUCCACCUCUUAAUACUGAAUACUUAGAUGACUGCCAGAUGAAUAGCUGGAUCCUUUUGUGGCUAACUAACUCACCUGGUGUAGAGAAAGACAGUUGAUAGAUCAAAAAAGUAUACAGAUAACAGAGAGCAAGUGAUAUGGAUAUGAAAGACAUUAGGGAGCAUACAAAUGCAGUUUGGCCAGGAUUUAUUUCUAGUUAUGGACUGAUGAGGAGACAUGGGGAAAAAUUGUCAAAUUAAAAAAAAUCUUUUUGGCAAAUUUAAACUUUGCCUCUAUCCUUUUUCUCUUAAUCUGCUACCCAGAUAUGCACUUCAAAUAGGAAUGUGGGCCUACUGGGGCAUGAAAUAGUUGAGAGCUAUUCAACAAUGAGGAGAAUGAGAGAAAUCUAUUUAGAAGGACAUUUUAGAAUUUAAGCCAGUUGAACCUUAAUAGUCACAGAUAAUUUAACAUGACCCCUAAACCAUUAGGGGGGUUUUUACUACAAGGACUUGGCUCUGUAUUAACAAUGUCAUCCUUCUUAGAAAUUGAUAACUAUAGAAGUUAUCCUAUGUGGAGUAAGAUAAGAAUGACUGCUCUUCAUGUUUACAAGAGAUUAGAGUGGAUAAGAACCAGGUGAAACAGGAAUCCCAAGGGAUCUCCUUCCUUCUCAGAGUCAUAGCCAUUCCAGGGAAUCUGCACAUUUUCUGGCUUUCCCAUUUCUAUCAGAUGGUUACUUAGGAACAAAUGAAAAUCAGCAAAAGUGCCAUGAUAAUUAUCACAAAUUCGUAUGAAAUAAUGAGGCAGUUGAAUGCAUUUUUUCUGUCUUAUCUCUGUUUGUCAAUGAGCUAAACAGUGUGUUCAGGUCCCUCUGAAUACUUGGAGGAGCAAGAUUCUUUAGCCUUGUCUCACUGAUUCCCAAAGUUUAUCUAAGUCUUUCCAGAGGAGGACCUCUAUUGUCAACACUUGAUAGCCAAACCCUUCCUUUGUUUUUUUCCUUCUAUACACUACUUGUUAAUCAACUUGCAC
rnacentral:lncRNA from 1 species